UCCCUGUUCUGUUAAUUAAACUCUGGGACACUGAACUGGCUAGCAUAGGUGAUUGCACAGAAAAUGUCACUCUAUUGAUUUACCUCCCAGCCUCCAAAA
rnacentral:snoRNA from 1 species